UGUAUUUAUUAGAUAAAAAACCAAUGCCCUUCGGGGCUUUUUGGUGAUUCAUGAUAACUUUACGGAUCGCAUAGCCUUGCGCUGGCGACGGUUCAUUCAAAUUUCUGCCCUAUCAACUUUCGAUGGUAAGGUAUUGGCUUACCAUGGUUUCAACGGGUAACGGGGAAUUAGGGUUCGAUUCCGGAGAGGGAGCCUGAGAAACGGCUACCACAUCCAAGGAAGGCAGCAGGCGCGCAAAUUACCCAAUCCCGACACGGGGAGGUAGUGACAAUAAGUACUGAUACAGGGCUCUUUUGGGUCUUGUAAUUGGAAUGAGUACAAUUUAAACCUCUUAACGAGGAACAAUUGGAGGGCAAGUCUGGUGCCAGCAGCCGCGGUAAUUCCAGCUCCAAUAGCGUAUAUUAAAGUUGUUGCAGUUAAAAAGCUCGUAGUUGAAACUUGGGCCUGGCUGGCGGGUCCGCCUCACCGCGUGCACUCGUCCGGCCGGGCCUUCCUUCUGAAGAACCUCAUGCCCUUCACUGGGCGUGCUGGGGAACCAGG
rnacentral:rRNA from 1 species